GCCCACAAGCAUAAAAGCAAGGCUGGUUAUUCCCAAUUCUUAGCAGUACAAAUUUAGGAAAGCCCCCGGCGCCUGUAGGAAGAGCGGGAAGGCUGUCUGUGUCCAUAGGGGAACAGGGCCGGACCCAGCAGCCUGGUGGCCGUGCGGCUCUGAGCCAUGGCCAGCCUGAUACGCGUUACAAAACCAAACGGUGUGCCUGCACCGGAGGGUUGCUGAAGUUAAUUUUGUUCAGGAAGUGUCACACUUUGUCAUCGCCUGAGUCUGCAGCAGGGCCUCUCCCUGAAGGUGUGUGCGGGGAACGACCUGCUGCGUUCCCCUCGCUGACAGGAGGCAUUGCCCUGCCCGAGUCACCCGCGUGCCCGACGCUUCCAGCAGCUGCUGCUUCCUGCAUUUUUCUAUCCCUCGUGAGCACUGGAAAGGAGCAGCCUGGUGCUUCCCUGCUGACUCAGGGUUCCUCAGGAUUCGUGGCAUACCUCUGUGAUAUCCGGUCCCCUGAAAUGUACGCUCAUGUUCAGAAUUACUUCUGAGAUGAAGAACUUGGCCUUGCUGAGAGCCACGUAGGCCUUUGGAACACCUUUCAUUGGCUACGUGUUAACGCACACCUCAGCGUUAAUCAGUAAUAACGUGGGGAAAAGUAACGUGAUUCCAGAUGGGCUGAAUUCACAGACUUUAUCUGGACUGUUGGCCACAGGUUUCCCAGCUCAUGGUGAAUAAUUAUGUAACUAAAGAAAAAAAUGCUGUGAUGAUUCGUUGAGUAUUUAAACAAUUUUUGGAUAUUCAAGUUCCUUUGUGCUUUCUGAAUUAGUUUUCACAGAAACUAACAAAUGUUUUUAUCAUAUUUGGGAACAGAGGUAUAUUAACAUAUUGCUAUCUUUGGUAUUUUUAGUUAAUUAAACUAACACUGCUUGAUUGUCCUGUUCCAUAUAAACCUUUUUCCAUAUAUUAGCAAGCGUCAGGUUAGUUUUGUAGCAAGCCAACAGAAUGUGCUUGGACAGAUAUGCACGCAGACUAUUUAUUUGCUAAAUUUGCUUAUGUACAAUGUAUGCAAUUUCUUGUAACUGAUUUUGAAAGUAUUAUGAAUAUAAGAGGUAAAAAAUCGAAAUUCCACAUCUCCAUUUUUCCCAUAUGAGUUAUAUCCUGUAUAAAAACAAUUAAUUCUCUUACAGGUAUUACAUGACCAUUCAAAUUUUGCCUUCUGUUAUUUCUUUGCAAGUGCAAACGAGCUAGAUAGGGAAAGGAGUGAAUGUGGACAAUUGUAUAUAAAAAAACAACAACACAGAAUUAGUGAGAGUUUAGAAGUUUGUAUGACUUGAACAGAGGAUACAGAGAGUAGGAACAUUCAGUCACAGUCAGAUGCUACUUGUUCCAGAUGUUUGUUUCCCCUUUGAUAGGCUUUUUUCAGCACAACUCAAAGACCGAAACUUCCUUGUUGAAAUUAUCAUGCAGUGAUUGACUGUUUUCUCAUCCACCCUUCUUGAGAAUACUUUCUUGUGCAUGAGACGUUUCAACUGACCGACACAGUGAAGU
rnacentral:lncRNA from 1 species